rnacentral:rRNA from 1 species
UACAGGGGGGGGCAAGCGUUGUUCGGAAUUACUGGGCGUAAAGGGCUCGUAGGCGGCCAACUAAGUCCGACGUGAAAUCCCAAGGCUUAACUUUGGAACUGCGUCGGAUACUGGAUGGCUUGAAUUCGGGAGAGGGAUGCAGAAUUCCAGGUGUAGCGGUGAAAUGCGUAGAUAUCUGGAGGAAUACCGGUGGCGAAGGCGGCAUCCUGGACCGGCAUUGACGCUGAGGCGCGAAAGCCAGGGGAGCAAACGGG